rnacentral:rRNA from 1 species
UACGUAGGGUCCGAGCGUUGUCCGGAAUUAUUGGGCGUAAAGAGCUCGUAGGCGGUUUGUCGCGUCUGCUGUGAAAUCCCGAGGCUCAACCUCGGGCCUGCAGUGGGUACGGGCAGACUUGAGUGGUGUAGGGGAGACUGGAAUUCCUGGUGUAGCGGUGGAAUGCGCAGAUAUCAGGAGGAACACCGACGGCGAAGGCAGGUCUCUGGGCAAUUACUGACGCUGAGGAGCGAAAGCGUGGGGAGCGAACAGG